GGGUCAGUAGGUUGGUCGUGCCACCGGUACGUACUGGUCUCACUGAUUCCUCCUUCCUGAAGAACCGUAAUGCCAUUAAUUUGGUGUUGCGGGGAAACAGGACUGUUACUCUGAAAAAAUUAGAGUGUUUAAAGCAAGCUAACGCUUGAAUUCAUUAGCAUGGAAUAAUGAAAUAGGACGAUCGAUCCUAUUUUGUUGGUUUCUAGGAUUGACGUA
rnacentral:rRNA from 1 species